rnacentral:rRNA from 1 species
AAACCAMUUYUCAGUUCAGAUCGGAGUMUGCAACUCGACUCCGUGAAGCUGGAAUCGCUAGUAAUCGUAKAUCAGCAAUGAUACGGUGAAUACGUUYCCGGACCUWGCACACACCGCCCGUCAAGCCAUGGGAGCCGGGUGUACCUAAAGUCGGUAACCGCAAGGAUCUGCCUAGGGUAAAAUCGGUGACUGGGGCUAAGUCGUAACAAGGUAACC